AUGGCCAUUACAUUUUGCGUAUCAGCUCUUGACACGACAAUUUGGACUCCACGAUUAUACAUCAAGUUUCUGUUUUUCCCGGAAGAUAUAUACGAUUAUCACCUUCAAAAACUCUGCUUGGGAACUAUUUUUCUCCCUAAAAUUGAUAAGAUGAGUGGGAGAGGAAACAAAGGAAGUAGAGGUGGGGGGAGAGGAGCUACGAGCAUAUCUCUUUCGGAGGCAAAGGCAAAUAUUAAUCAAGAUCUGGCUAAUUUGUCACGACAAACCUUGAAGGACGUGGGGAAUAUUAUACAGCAACCUGGCCCGACGAAACCUAGAUCCUUCAACCUCAAACCUAUUCCAAAGAAUUCUCUGGUCUUAAGAAACCCCUCUGAAUCGAAGAUAUCAAUGAAAGACUAUCAACGACCUCAGAACCCAGGAGAUGGGAAGCAGUCAUCCGGAUUGAAUGGAAAACAGAAAUUGAUUCCUAGUCAUACCCCUCAGGAGAGUCAGCUUAAUAAUCCCAGUAUUGGGCAACAGAAGACUUAUAAACAGCCAUCUACAUCUAAAACACCUAAUAAUGAACAGUGCUCUUAUUCAAUGCAGAAGUCACCUCAAAUUCCAAAACCCCCCUCAUCAACCUCACAGCAGCGAGCAGCCUCAAAUCGCACGUACCUUAAAGGACCAAUCCGUAUGCCAACAGUGUUGGCAUCAGAAUCAGUCCCUCCUCUAACAACGAACAGAACGACGAAGCCUCCCGAACAUCUUGCCCCACAAAAUCCCAACCAGAGACAACAGGCAUCAAAUCCACUCACGACACCUACUCCAGAACCCUGAAUAAUUGCAGCUCCCCUGGCCAGAACGGGGGAUCCCCCUCGUGAUUAUGUCAACGCCCCAGCAGAAUUAUUCUUGGAUGCGGUGACUGGAAUACGUUCGCAGUUGGACCGCAUCGAGGAAUCCUUGAAGCAAAUUUCUGUGGAUGUGAGGCAUCAGCGUCGACAAGGGCAAUUUGUCAUACCUGAUUGUUUGAAAUUCCAAACUCUGGAAGACUUAGCUAAAUUCGAAGAAAUUGAUGAGGCAACGUAUUACUACAACGGGGUAGUCGAUUAUCUAGCUUUUCUUGGGGGCAGCGACGUUGAUGCUUGUGCUAAGCUGUAUUUCAACGAAGCAUUUGACGAGAAUGAGUGGGUCUCGGAUUAUUAUGUAUAGGGAGGAGUUGAGAGAAAACAAGUGGAGCGAAAGAGACAGCAGAAAAAGAUGUUGAAGAAUAGUCGUUUCACUUCAGCGUGUUUUGACGCAAUGGCUGAAAAUCGAUAUUUCGAGAAACCAACGAGAGAUGUUUUCCAUAGCUGUAUGGAGAAGGCAUUUAAAGCCUUGAAGGAACGUCGUCGAAAGAAAUUGGAAAAACAAAAUAAGGAAACUGAAAGGACUGGAAGAACUGACGAAAAUACUCGUGCUGAUUCACCAGCUCUUGAAGAUAGGACCACAAGUCGAGGGAGUAGAACACCUCGGGGAGAAAUCGAAAUGGAACACGCAGAAUCCUAACAGAACAGAGUUCCAAGGAAUGAUUGGAGAUGGAGAUGAUUCGACAACUAGCCUCAGUCCGGGAGACAAUGAUAUUGGCAUUACCUCUGACGACAUGGAGUUCGAUGGAGAAGACUUACUGCAUGGAGCCACCGAAGCAGAUAGUCGUCAUAUUAUAACGGAUGAAGAUGCUCUCCUUGCGUCAUCCAUCGAAAAUUUGUCAGCUUAUUUUUCAUAGCAUAAUCAGGAAUGAUAGAAUAGCUUAUCAUGUCCACAUAUGGAGAAAUCUAAUAGGAAAGCCUAGUAAAUUCGCAUAUAAAUUCAACUAGUUUUCGAUCGGAAGUACUUUGAAAAUUAACUUUUUUCAUUUUCUGAUACUCUGGGAAAAAUAUUUCUGCUAUUGAAACAUUUUCUCUAGAAAAUACCGGGCUCAAAUUUUUCAGUUUUUUACUCAUAUUUUAUAGUGAAAGGAACAAAAAUCCACUGAGAAUAAAUUCGGACAUUUAUUUCAGGAAAUUUCUAUAAACAACCUUUUAGUAGAAUAGCUCACAUACAGAAAUUAAAAUCAAUCAAAUAUUUCUGUUUCAAAGUGUAGAAAUUUGGCGAAUUAUUAGAAAUUGAAUCUGCCAAGAACAAACAGGAUUUUGCAUGGAAUUGGGAUACAAUUUGCUAGCGCUAGGCCUUUCUAUUGGAUCGAGUAUUCGUGUUUGUAUAAUCUGUUAUCCAUAUGAUGUGUCAAUAGCCCUGAAGGGAAGAGGGAUAAAAUGGAUAUUCGUUCACCUUCAUUUAGUGGAGAUUAACGAAGUCGAUUUAAACUAUUUUUUUUUAGUUCGCAAAUAUUUUUCCAGACUUCAAAAUUAUAUUUGAUGAAUCUACAUUCUACUAUUGCAUAAUAUAUUGAUCUAAGACGAUCCAUUUUACCCCAUCUUCUUCUACAAACAAGAGAAUCACUGUAUGUACUGAUAUUAAGAUUGUAAAGAUAAUAAUAAUGAAUAAAUAAUGAAUAAAAUCGUGA